rnacentral:rRNA from 1 species
GACGAACGCUGACGGUGUGCUUUAGACAUGCAAGUCGAACGAGAAAGCCCUUCGGGUUAGUAAAGUGGCGAACGGGUGAGUAACACGUGGGCAAUCUGCCCCUCGCAGGGGGACAACCGGAGGAAACUCCGGCUAAUACCCCGUAAGUUCAAAGGGAGGCAUCUCUCUUCGAAGAAAGGUAGCUUCGGCCAUCCGGCGAGGGAUGAGCCCGCGGUGCAUUAGCUAGUUGGUGGGGUAACGGCCUACCAAGGCGACGAUGCAUAGCUGGUCUGAGAGGAUGAUCAGCCACACUGGGACUGAGACACGGCCCAGACUCCUACGGGAGGCAGCAGUCGGGAAUCUUGCGCAAUGGGCGAAAACGCCUGACGCAGCAAACACCGUGUGUGUGAGGAAGGCCUUAAGGGUCGUAAA